rnacentral:rRNA from 1 species
GAGGCUUGGAGUGGGUAGUCCGCACGAGCGCAACCCUUGGUUCUAGUUGCCAGCAUUCAGUUGGGCACUCUAGAGCGACUGCCGGCGACAAGUCGGAGGAAGGUGUGGACGACGUAGGAGUGGGUAGUCCGCACGAGCGCAACCCUUGGUUCUAGUUGCCAGCAUUCAGUUGGGCACUCUAGAGCGACUGCCGGCGACAAGUCGGAGGAAGGUUCUAGUUGCCAGCAUUCAGUUGGGCA